UACGGAGGAUGCAAGCGUUAUCCGGAAUGAUUGAGCGUAAAGCGUCCGCAGGUGGCUGUGUAAGUCUGCUGUUAAAUAGUGAGGCUCAACCUCAUAAAGGCAGUGGAAACUACACGGCUAGAGUGCGUUCGGGGCAGAGGGAAUUCCUGGUGUAGCGGUGAAAUGCGUAGAGAUCAGGAAGAACACCGGUGGCGAAAGCGCUCUGCUAGGCCGCAACUGACACUGAGGGACGAAAGCUAGGGGAGCGAAUGGG
rnacentral:rRNA from 1 species